AAAUUGGGUGGAUCCCCUCUAAAGACAGAGAACUGCUAGUUUUAAACAGAAGAUAAGUGACCAUGGAAAUUAAAAUAUAAUUAUUUAGUAUCUAAAAUUUGAAGUAGUAUGCAAAGAAGCAGGAACAGAUUAUGAAUAAACCUCUAUCAAAGCAAUUACACUUUAAGAUGGACUGUUCCUCUGUAUUUUAUCCUCUAAUCAGUAGCUAUAUUGUCUAGACUGUGUGUUGUAGAGACCAGAAGCCUGGGAGUUGCAGGGCCUCCUUGGAGCCAGAGUAAUUAGUACAAAACUAACUCCCUCAGUGGUCCUGACAGUUGCAAUGGAGGUAACCAAGAAACACAAAUCAGAGAAUGGGUCCUCAAUCACAUAGAACCAGGGACAGAAAUCUAACUACUAGAUAAUCAGCACUCACCACCAGCCUCACACUAAGAAGUGGGUCCAGCUGCCCAGCUCCGCUGAGCCUUGGGGGAAACAGCCAGCAUCCUACUUUGCUGACCGCAUUUCCUUUUCUUUUCUGGGGACAAGGUCAUGUCUGUUUUCAGUGGGGGGGCUUGCCCUCUAGUUCUUGUAGAGGCUUAGUUUCAGAUGAUAGGUAAGGCUUUCUUAGAACCACAGAACACAGUAGUCAACAAGCAAUCAUUUUCCCUUGGUUGAUAUUUACACCACAAUAGGGUUAAAAAAAAAUCAGCCUGUAUGACCUCUCUUUUAAUGUUUUCUUUCCUCUUUUCCAGGAUAGAAUGGUGUUGCUCAUUGUGGGCAAUCUGGUUAACUGGUCCUUGUAAGUAGUCUUGGAAAAAUAGGUUUUUGUCUUUAUUAAUGUCUGUAAUACUGUGGUUUAACUUUUCUUGACUGUCAUUUUUUAAUAUCUUUAUUGUUUAGUUAUAGAUGGACAAUACCUUUAUUUAUCUUUAUGUGGUGUGGAGGCCCGAACCCAGUGCCUCACACAUGAUAGGCGAGUGCUCUACCACUGAGCCACAGUCCCAGCACUUCUUGACUGUCAUUUUUACAAAGAAAUCUGAAAUUAAGAAAAGGGUAAGCAUAUGCUUGCCCUAGAGACUUGAUUAAAAGAUUAAAAGAUUUUGUUUUUGUUUUUUGAUUUUGUUUUCUUUUCCCUGAAAAUAAAACACUAAAGUGACAAUAGUGGCUUCUUCUAAAGCAUUGAUACAGUGAUUGAGUUCAUUUGCUCAAGAAGAGAAACAUCUAUGAGGACAGAUCAGAUCAUAUGGAUGGAUGAAUGGAUGGGAUGGAUGGAUAGAUUAUGCUUGCUCAUAGGUGCAAAGAUGCAAUACAAUUUUAAAUUAUUUCAUAGAACUUUUCUAUAAAGGCUACCCCAUAGGCAUUCUUUUUUUUUUAAAGCUGUUAAUAGGCCUUUAGUUUAUUUAUUUAUAUGGAGUACUGAGAAUCGAACCCAGUGCCUCACACAUGCAGGCAAGUGUGCUACUGCUGAGCACAUUCCCCCCCCCCCCAUAGGCAUUCUUUUUGGUAGAAUUUCUAUUUUUUGUUAUGUGCAUGCAACUGUCUGUCAAAGAGGGAUGGGGGAGUGGCGGAGCAUAAGAGCAAGAGCAAGUCUUUUUCCUAUUUCUUUCCCUCUGGGUCUCCUUAUUCCUCCUCCACCUUUAUCAUUCUUCUUCCUCUUUUUGUCUCUUGUCAUCCUCUUGGCCCUUUUCUUCAAAGAGAUUCAAAAUAGCUGAAAUAUUUUAUGCAACCUAGUCUCACUUUGACCAUGUGAUAUAUUUUAUUGAUAACUUGAAAAUAAACAAGUAAUUUUAGCUGCUUUUGUUUAUGGCUCUUAGCUGAUAUGUUUCUCUGGGUCAGUGACCUUUGAUAGAAAAAUGACUGCCUGCUCCUGGCACACAUUAAGAUAUAUGAAGGCAUGAAGAAAGAGACAGACCUUCAGAAUCAACCCAAAAGAAUUAGCUGGGAUGGUGGGCAUGUGCCGCCAUGCUCCACCUGUACCAACCUCUUAAUAAUGAACAACCUAUGACUGUGACCCCAGGAAUUCAGAAUCACCUGGCUCAUCUCUGCCUCACACACAAUCAAAACCAAACCCACAGUCUGCUCACAAGAUAAGAUAAAUGGCCUCUCUCUUCUUAGACACCUCUGUGAGAUACUAGGGCCUACACACGUACAAGGUGCUAUAACACACUAACACCCUGAUUACCUGCUAGAGAGCUUCUCCCUCUCAGUAGCUCUGCAAAGAUACGUUGUGAGUUGGUAUGAAUGGUGUUUUAAAGAGAAUCACUUUCCUAUGAUAUGAAGAAUAAUAAUGGUGUGUGUGUGUGUGUGUGUGUGUAGAGAGGUAUGUAGUAUACGUUUGUAUGUGUAUGCAUUUGUACAGAUGUGUAUAUACAUAUAUGUGCACACAGAAUUGUGGCUAUUAAAUGCAUACAUAUAUAUGUGUAUAUGUUUGAUUAAAGAGAGAGAGUAAGAAUCAAAAAUCAAGUAUGCAAAAUGCUAAUAUUUGGUGGAUCUGAUUAAAGUCUAUGCAAGAGAUUUUUAGUUUAUUGAAGAUUUCAAAAUCUGGAAGGCAGAAGUUUUCUGUAUUAUAAGUCAGUUGGGAUUCAAAGGGAAUCAAAUGAGAGUCUGUUAGUAACAGUUUUACAGUUGACAUGCUUAGGAAUAAAUUUUGAGAGAUGUGUAGAACCUCUUUUCAGAAAAUUCGAUUGCCUUAUUAGGAGAUACAAAAGAAAACGUAACUAAAUGAAGAGAAGUAUCAGGGUCUGGGUGGGAAGGUUAACUAUUGUAAAGACAUCUGUUUUUAAUUUAAUGUAUAAAUUUGGAUUUAGAGCUAGAAUUAAAUUAGUGGGAUUUUAUUCUGAAAUUUAUUUGUCCAGUUAGAUGAAAAUUUCAAAGCCUGAAAAGUAAGAUAAACAGAAGUAAGGAGGGACAGAGAGUAUAGUGACCACCUCUGCAUUAUCCAGUAGAACUUUCUGGAAUGAUAGAAGUGUUCUGCACUUCAUUGACCAAUGCAGGAUCUAUUAGUACUACUGAGAACUUGAAAUGUGUCUACUGUGACUAAGGAACUGGAUUUUCAAAAUCUUAUUUAAUUUUAAUUAAUAACUUUAAAUUUAAAUAACCACAUGAUGCUACUACAUGGGAUAUUGCAGAUUAGGUUGAACAAUAUUGUGAAGGUAUUCCUUUAUUCAUUGCAGAAAUGUUUAUGAUCAUGAAAAACUGAAGGAUACUGAAGAAACCAACCAUAGAGGGAAGAUGACUGUAUACAGCACAUUCACUUAUGUGAACUUUACAUAGUCAUUAGACAUGAAUGUUUUGAAGAUGUAGUUAUUUAAAAGUUCAGCAUAUAGUCACGUGUUGCACAGUGACAUUUUAGUCAGUGGAAGACCACAUAUAAGCCCUGGUCCCAUAAGAUGAUAUUGCCUAGUGAUGUAGCAGCCGUCCUUAUGUUGUGUGAGUAUACUCCAGGAUGCUUGCCAAUUUGACAGGGGCCAAAUUGCCUAAAGAUUCAUCUCUCAAAACAUCCCCAUCAUUAAGUGAUGUGUGACAGUGUGUUAAAGUGGGUUUUUUAAUGAACUCCUCCCACUCCAAAACAGAGUAGGGCAGGGAAAAGGCAAUGAUGUAAGAAGCUGCCUUCUCCACUGCAAAUAUUUCCUCCCAUGUCCUCAGUGCCCUCUUUGGAUUGAUCUACCGGCCCAGAGACUUUGCAUCCUACAUGCUGGGCAUCUUCAUCUGCAACCUGCUGCUGUACCUGGCCUUCUACAUCAUCAUGAAGGUAAGUGCAGGUAUGGGGAGCUGGGAGGGCCCCUGCCUGGCAGA
rnacentral:lncRNA from 1 species